rnacentral:rRNA from 1 species
GAUCCUGGCUCAGGAUGAACGCUGGCGGCGUGCUUAACACAUGCAAGUCGAACGGGAAAUACUUUAUUGAAACUUCGGUCGAUUUAAUUUAUUUCUAGUGGCGGACGGGUGAGUAACGCGUGGGUAACCUGCCUUAUACCGGGGGAUAACAGCCAGAAAUGGCUGCUAAUACCGCAUAAGCGCACAGAACCGCAUGGUUCGGUGUGAAAAACUCCGGUGGUAUAAGAUGGACCCGCGUUGGAUUAGCUAGUUGGCAGGG